GUCCACGCCGUAACGAUGAAUACUAGGUGUCCGCAUUCACAGGAUGUGGGUGCCGCAGCAACGCAAUAAGUAUUCCACCUGGGAGUACGUUCGCAAGAAUGAACUCAAGGAAUUGACGGGACCCGCACAAGCGGUGGAGCAUGUGGUUUAAUUCGAAGCAACGCGAAGAACCUUACCAGGUCUUGACAUGCCGAUGACAGAUGGGGUAAUGCCAUCCUCUCUACGGAGCAUUGGACACAGGUGGUGCAUGGUUGUCGU
rnacentral:rRNA from 1 species